rnacentral:ncRNA from 1 species
CAAAGGUUUGGUCCUAGCCUUGUAAUCAACUGCUACUGAACUUACACAUGCAAGCAUCCGCACUCCUGUGAAAAUGCCCUUAAGCCUCUUUAAUGGGGGAUAAGGAGCUGGUAUCAGGCACUAUCAUUAAGCCCAUAACACCUUGCUAUGCCACACCCACAAGGGAACUCAGCAGUGACAAAUAUUGAAUAUGAGUGUAAAGCUCGACUCAGUUACAGUAAUUAGAGUUGGUAAAUCUCGUGCCAGCCACCGCGGUUAUACGAGAAACUCAAGUUGAUUAUCCUCGGCGUAAAGCGUGAUUAAAGUAACUAUAAAACUAGAGCCAAACCCCAACCAAACUGUCGCACGUUCUCGUUGGUUUGAAGAACACUUACGAAAGUAGCUCUAUAAAUUUCACUUGAGUUCACGACCGCUAGGAAACAAACUGGGAUUAGAUACCCCACUAUGCCUAGCCUCAAACUUUGACUAUUUACGCAAAAAUCCGCCAGGGUACUACGAGCCUAAGCUUAAAACCCAAAGGACUUGGCGGUGCUCCAAACCCACCUAGAGGAGCCUGUUCUAUAAUCGAUACUCCCCGUUAAACCUCACCACUUCUCGCCAAAUCCGUCUAUAUACCACCGUCGCCAGCCCACCUCGUGAGAGAACCCUAGUAGGCCCAACGANUCACACAUCAGCACGUCAGGUCAAGGUGUAGCAUAUGAAGUGGAAAGAAAUGGGCUACAUUUUCUACUCCCCUAGAAUACAACGAAAGAUCUUUAUGAAACCAGAUCAGAAGGAGGAUUUAGCAGUAAAGAGGAACUAGAGUGUUCUCUUUAAAAUGGCCCUGGAGCGCGCACACACCGCCCGUCACCCUCUUCUAUAAAAAUCUUAAACCUAAAUAAACCAAUUUAAAUCUCAAAGAAGAGGCAAGUCGUAACAUGGUAAGUACACCGGAAGGUGUGCUUGGAAU